rnacentral:rRNA from 1 species
AUGCCGCGUGCAGGAUGAAUGCCCUAUGGGUUGUAAACUGCUUUUCUGCAAGAAGAAACCUUAGUACGUGUACUAAGUUGACGGUACUGCAGGAAUAAGCACCGGCUAACUCCGUGCCAGCAGCCGCGGUAAUACGGAGGGUGCAAGCGUUAUCCGGAUUUAUUGGGUUUAAAGGGUCCGCAGGCGGAACUUUAAGUCAGUGGUGAAAGCCUACAGCUUAACUGUAGAACUGCCAUUGAUACUGGAAUUCUUGAGUGUGGUUGAAGUAGACGGAAUAUGUCAUGUAGCGGUGAAAUGCAUAGAUAUGACAUAGAACACCAAUUGCGUAGGCAGUUUACUAAACCAUUACUGACGCUCAUGGACGAAAGUGUGGGGAGCGAACAGGAUUAGAUACCCUGGUAGUCCACACCGUAAACUAUGAUCACUAGAUGUUGGCGAUAUAAUGUCAGUGUUAAAGAGAAAUCGUUAAGUGAUCCACCUGGGGAGUACGUUCGCAAGAAUGAAACUCAAAGGAAUUGACGGGGGCCCGCACAAGCGGUGGAGCAUGUGGUUUAAUUCGAUGAUACGCGAGGAACCUUACCAAGGCUUAAAUGUAAAGCGAUCGGUCGAGAGAUCGACCUUUUUUCGAACGGUUUACAAGGUGCUGCAUGGUUGUCGUCAGCUCGUGCCGUGAGGUGUCGGGUUAAGUCCCAUAACGAGCGCAACCCCUAUUUUUAGUUACCAGCGAAUAAUGUCGGGAACUCUAAAGAAACUGCCCGUGCAAACGGAGAGGAAGGUGGGGAUGACGUCAAAUCAUCACGGCCCUUAUGUCUUGGGCUACACACGUGCUACAAUGGUUAUUACAAUGAGAUGCAAACUGGUAACAGUAAGCUAAUCUAUAAAAAUAAUCCCAGUUCGGAUCGGAGUCUGCAACUCGACUCUGUGAAGUUGGAA